rnacentral:rRNA from 1 species
CUAGAAUCGAUUCUCGAACUUGCACUGGACGCGGCCGGAAGCUGGAAUCAGCGAUUUUGCUGAUUCCCGAGCUGCCACUUACCCCCUUUCAAAUAUGGUCCAACUUUUACCCGUUAUUACAAUGGAAAUGCCACCACGUGCCCAGCCCAACCUCUCCAUCGACAGGGUCAUCCUUUCGUUCGCACACAUCCACACAUACCGAACAGAGGCAGAAAAACAGAGAGGGGAUGGCUCUCCAGGGUUCGCCCGCCGCCACCGUCGCUGGCCCGUUGCCGGCAGGGCAUGUGGAUCCAGUCUCCGCCGCCCCCGGCCAUACACCGACCGCAUCAGAUCCGUCACGCCGCCGUUCCUUAGCACCUGCUGCCCCUGCUCUCAGCUCGCCCCUGUGCUCCACCUGCGUCAGCGCCGGAGCUUCAGCUGCACCACGACGGAGCUUCAACCGCACCACGCCGGAGGCCCCCCUUGCCCCCUGACUCCACCUCCUCCUGCCCGACUGCACCAGCCCUGCCCCAUCUCCUACCUUUGAGAAGGUAUCUGUUCAUCAGUCCCAAAAAAUGUAUUUUUUGCUUGAUGCUCUAAAUUAUGUUCUUAUGUAUGAACUGCCUUAGUAAUGGGCCUUGAUUGGAGCAGUAGCAUUGUUCAGAUUUAGUAAAAUAUUCUAUAUAUUGUGUUUUUUGGAUGAUAUAUUUCGUAUGGAAGACUACGAGGGUUGAUUCUUUUUUU